rnacentral:rRNA from 1 species
GACGAACGCUGGCGGCGUGCUUAACACAUGCAAGUCGAACGGAAAGGCUCCAGCUUGCUGGAGUACUCGAGUGGCGAACGGGUGAGUAACACGUGGGUAAUCUGCCCUGCACUCUGGGAUAAGCCUGGGAAACUGGGUCUAAUACUGGCUAUGACCUUUCUCCUUAUGGGGUUUGGUGGAAAGUUUUGCGGUGUAGGAUGGGCCCGCGGCCGAUCGGCUUGUUGGUGGGGUGGUGGCCUACCAAGGCGACGCCGGGUAGACGGCCUGAGAGGGGGAGCGGCCCCGUUGGGACUGAGAUAGGGCCGAGACUACUACGGGAGGCAGGAGUGGGGAAGAUUGCACAAUGGACGGAAGCCUGAUGCAACGACGCCGCGUGAGGGAUGACGGCCUGCGGGUUGUAAACCUCUGUCAGCAGGGACGAAGCGUAAGUGACGGUACCUGCAGAAGAAGCACCGGCUAACUACGUGCCAGCAGCCGCAGUAA